rnacentral:rRNA from 1 species
UACGUAGGGUGCGAGCGUUAAUCGGAAUUACUGGGCGUAAAGCGUGCGCAGGCGGUUUUGUAAGCCAGAUGUGAAAUCCCCGGGCUUAACCUGGGAAUGGCAUUUGGGACUGCAAGGCUGGAGUGUGGCAGAGGAGACUGGAAUUCCUGGUGUAGCAGUGAAAUGCGUAGAUAUCAGGAGGAACACCAGUGGCGAAGGCGACUCUUUGGUCUGUAACUGACGCUGAGGCGCGAAAGCGUGGGGAGCAAACAGG